AUGGCCAGGGGCCAGAGACCUCACAAUGUACAGAACAGCCACUGCAGCAAAGAACGACGGGACGUGGAGUGCUCCUGGCAUAGAGCAGAGAUGCUGCACUCUCUCUGCCUAGAGAUGCAGGUGUGCGCACACAGGAGCCCACAAGCACUUCCGCUCUGCCGAUGGUGGGGGCACAGGCUUCCACAUCUCAUCCUUUCCAUGUGCCUGCCCAUGGAGACGGCUUUGCGUCGCGCGCAUGAGCGGAGCAUCUCCAGCCUCCAGACGCCGUUCUCUGGGCUUGGAUCACUGACUGGCUCAUUCUUCGGCUGAUGGACACUCAGGUCGUUUCUAGCUUCUGCACACAAGGUCCCAGGACAAUGCUUGUCCACAGCUUGGAGAACCCAUGGCGGACAGCUGGUGUGUCUGUCUGCUAACUCCUUCUAGUAGACUAGCUAGGUCAAAGUGGACAAGAGUUCAGGAUGCUCGCAGGUGUUGCCAAAGGCCUUCUGAAGAUACUCAUCGCGCACUCCCAUCUCCCACCAGCCUGUCAACAGGAUGCUUCUGUUCUAUUUGAAAACAAGGGUAAUUCAUAAGCGUUCAUUUUCCAGAAAACAGAAAUUGGGAUAAAGACCCCCGAGUGUCCAGUGUCAGAGGUGUUCUCUGUAAUCAGAGGGACAGAGACAAACCAACGUACAAUGUGUGUCUUGGAGUUGGCCUAGCACAGCCUCAAGGAUUCUUUGAGUUUUCAUGCAGGCCUGGGGGACGUCCAGUCUUCUUCCUCCUCCAAUUCUUCUCCUCUUAGGCAUUUACUCUUCCUUCUUGCCCUCCUCCUCCUACUUCCUCAUAGGGUUUGUACAGCCCCAAACUGACCUUGAACUGACUGGGCAGUUGAGCGUGACCUUGAACUUUUGAUCCUCCUGUCUCUGCUUUCCAAAAGUUGUGUAUUGGCUAGCUUUAUGUCAAUUUGACACAAGCUAGAGUUGUCCGAAAGGGGCGAACUUCAACUGAGAAAAUGCCUCCAUGAGAUCCAGCUGCAGGGCACUUUUUUUGUAAUCAGUAGGGGAGUACCCAGUCCAUUGUGGGUGGGGCCAUCCCCGGGCUGGUGGUCCUGGGUUCUAUAAGAGAGCAGGCUGAGCAAGCCAGGGGAAGCAAGCCAGUAAGCAGCACCCCUCCACCGCCUCUGUGUCAGCUCCUGCCUCCUGGUUCCUGUCUUGCUUGAGUUCCUGUCCUGACUUCUUUUGAUGAUGAGCAGUGAUACAGAAGUGUAAGUCAAAUAAGUUCUUUCCUCUCUAAGUUGCUUUGGUCAUGGUGUUUCAAUUAAAGCAAUAGGAACCCUAACUAAGUCGAGUUGGAUCACCAAUUCUAUUUUUAAAAAACCUUUUCUUUUUAAAUGCUUUAGCUCCCAUUUUAAAAUACUAGUAAUAAAUCCUGUAUUAUUUUAUUUGGUGUUGUAGCA
rnacentral:lncRNA from 1 species